rnacentral:rRNA from 1 species
UACAGAGGGUGCAAGCGUUGUUCGGAAUUAUUGGGCGUAAAGCGCGUGUAGGCGGCUUUGCAAGUCGGGUGUGAAAGCCCUCAGCUCAACUGAGGAAGUGCGCCCGAAACUGCAGAGCUUGAGUGCCGGAGAGGGUGGCGGAAUUCCCCAAGUAGAGGUGAAAUUCGUAGAUAUCUGGAGGAACACCGGUGGCGAAGGCGGCAUCCUGGACCGGCAUUGACGCUGAUGAGCGAAAGCCAGGGGAGCAAACAGG